GAGGUCCAUACGCAUUAAAAAACAAUCAGACGAAAGGAAGUGUUACUACAGUUGACUCUUUAGUCAACCUCUGUGUAUUAUUCGACUAGUGCGGCACAUAGCUUGCCACCAGUAUUCAUAAAUACUUGACGAACAAAGAUUUAACUGAGUUUGACUUCAGGUAUAUAGAAAAUAUCACUCCACUGCCAUAGCUUCACUAUUACACUGCUGACCUACUUGCUCUAACGGAACUAAAAUGGAGACUGAACCAAACAUUCCUCCCGUCAUCCGAUCUACCCCUGACCCCAGCUACCCUAACCCUUGACCUAGCCUUCACGUCUGCUUCUAAUGCUCCCCUACCCAGUCAGUCUCUAUUAUUUUGUAUGUAGUUGUCUCCCCGCAGUUCUCCCCCCUUGUACAGAUAACUGACUUCUGCUCCAUCCAUGGGAUGUGUUUCUAACCGCUAACAAGGGCAGUAACAAACACAAAACGAGUCUAGUUUCGGGUCAUGUUCACCGUAUUUGUCAUUUCCUUGACACUGUCAGCAGUAGCGUCAGAGUUUCAACUCACCAUCUUACACACAAACGAUGUUCACGCCAGGAUUGAACAAACUGACAAAAACAGUGCACCUUGCACAUCAAAGGCGGCAGCCAGUGGGAAAUGCUUUGGUGGAGUAGCCAGAAUACGAACUAAGGU
rnacentral:sRNA from 1 species